rnacentral:rRNA from 1 species
CCUACGGGCGGCAGCAGUGAGGAAUAUUGCGCAAUGGACGGAAGUCUGAACCAGCCAUGCCGCGUGCAUGAAGAAGGCUCUCGGAGUUUAAAACUCUUUUUGUACAAGGGUAAACCUGAAUACGUGUAUUCAGCUGAAAGUACUGUACGAAUACGGAACGGCGAACUCCGUGCCAGCAGCCGCGGGAAUACGGAGGAUCCAAGCGUUAUCCGGAUGUAUUGGGUUUAACGGGUGAGUAGGCGGAUUGGUAAGUUAGAGGUGAAAUGUCCGAGCUUAACUCGGGAACUGCCUCUAAUACUGUUGAUCUAGAGAGUAGAUGAGGUAGGUAGAAUGUAUGGUGUAGCGGUGAAAUGCUUAGAGAUAAUACAGAACACCGAUGGCGAAGGCAGCUUACCAAUCUAUAACUGACGUUGAGGCACGAAAGCGUGGGGAGCAAACAGGAUUAGAUACCCUUGUAGUC